AAUGCCGCGGGGGCAACCCUGCGGCGGAAGUGGCGAAAGGGGCAGUAAGGCGUGGAUAACCUGCCCCGGACUUCGGGAUAGCCCCUCUAACGAGGGGGUAAUACCGGAUGCCGUGUCGGGGUGGCAUCACCUUGACACGAAAGCUACGGCGGUCCGGGAGGGGUUCACGUGGUAUUAGCUUGUUGGUGGGGUGACGGCCCACCAAGGCCAAGAUGCCUAGCAGGUGUGAGAGCACGACCUGCGCCACUGGCACUGGGACACUGGCCAGACUCCUACGGGAGGCUGCAGUCGAGGAUCUUCGGCAAUGGGCGAAAGCCUGACCGAGCGACGCCGCGUGUGCGAUGAAGGCCUUCGGGUUGUAAAGCACUGUCGUGGGGGAGAAAGCCCGCAAGGGUCGAUCGACCUCAGGAGGAAGCUCGGGCUAAGUUCGUGCCAGCAGCCGCGGUAAGACGAACCGAGCGAACGUUAUUCGGAAUCACUGGGCUUAAAGGGCGCGUAGGCGGGCCCGAAAGUCAGGGGUGAAAGCCCCCAGCUCAACUGGGGAAGUGCCUCUGAUACUGCGGGCCUCGAGCGAGGUAGGGGCGUGCGGAACUUCCGGUGGAGCGGUGAAAUGCGUAGAUAUCGGAAGGAACAUCGGUGGCGAAAGCGGCGCGCUGGACCUCUCCUGACGCUGAGGCGCGAAAGCCAGGGGAGCGAACGGGAUUAGAUACCCCGGUAGUCCUGGCCCUAAACGUUGGGCACUAGGUUGUGGGCUUACGUGGGCUCACAGCCGGAGCAAAAGUAUUAAGUGCCCCGCCUGGGGAGUAUGGUCGCAAGGCUGAAACUC
rnacentral:rRNA from 1 species